GCAUGUCCUUCAAGGCUAUUCUUGCAGUUUUUUUCUCCACUUGAGCCUUGGAGCCUUAGGAAUCCUGUUCCUGCUCCAACUCUCCCUGUUCUCUGCUAUUCCUGUUUUUUUUUUUUCCUGAUACCCAACUCUAACCAGGUGCAGCCCCAAGUGUUCACCCAUCACUCCCUGAUUAUACGUGACCCAGGGUUCCACUUGUACAACCCAGUCUUAACCAGGCUCUCCAAGUCUCUGUUUCUUCAGCUGUGAAACUGGGCUCCUGGCACCAGCUCCAGCUGAUGAGUGGAUUAAGGGGAACAAUUCCGGUCAGGUGUCUGACAUGCGGUAAACAACCACAAAAGCAUCUGUGCUUAGUAUCGCUUCUCAUCCAUGGACACCUAACUUUGUGCUUCCUGCUUCCUACUAACAAAAAUCCAGAUUCACCCCCAAAGCCCCAGAAGCCCUAGGCACUCAGUAUCCGGCUGCAGCUCCUACCAAGGAGAGGUUGGUGAUGCCCUGGAAGAGGCUGGUGGAGAGGCGGAGCAGGAGCAGUGGGGAGGCCUAGCUCACACUUAGAGCGCCCUAAGGCACAUAGGAAAGCAGCAGGCAUAAACCCAAAUUUGUGAAGAACCAGAGAAACAGGAGAAUCACAAUUUAAGCACCAGCUCACAGCCUAAAAGGAAACACAUGGCAUGGAUACGGUCACUGACUUUUGGCUCCUUGGGGGCGACCCCGGUGAAAGGGGCCACCUCUUUCGUGGUCAAACUUGGGUGAUUCGUACCCCCAAAGAGGUCCUAACUCAGAUUGUGAACUGCUGUGCUAAGGGGCAACCUACUACUUUUGUUUUGCUAACCAGGAUACACCAUGACCUAUCAGCAGACAGGAAUCGAAGAAAAGAUCCUGAUUGUACCACAGACACAGCAUGGGCACAACAGGAAAUGGUGGAAAAAGGAAUGCCAAGAAAAAGAUGUAGGACACAAACCAGGAACUAGAGAGGACCCACUUUGGCAAGAGGAAAAGGAACUGCAUGAGUGACAGGAUUAUGGGACUCAACAGCUGGUGACUGGGAGGGCCUUGUGCAAACAGCCUCCUUGGAGUCCAUUCUUCCAGUUUCCAGAGACAGGUCACCUUUUCCUGAGCUGGAAAGGAAACACAUCCAGAGAGUGAGUGUUCCUCUAUUUGGAGAAGGAGACACAAGAAGAAGCAACCAACAAUCCAAGAUAAACCAUAUGGGAUAAUAUUUAGAUGUUAUGAAAUAUUAAAGAGGCUGAAUAUAAUCACACAGGAAACAAUAAAUAAAAUGAAUGUCUGCAGCA